rnacentral:rRNA from 1 species
UUAUACGGCAUUCCCUAGUACGGCGAGCGAGCGGGAAGAGCUCAAAUUUGAAAUCUGGUGGCCUCAGGUCAUCCGAGUUGUAAUCUAUAGAAGUGUUUUCCGUGCUGGCCCAUGUACAAGUCCCUUGGAACAGGGCGUCAUAGAGGGUGAGAAUCCCGUCCUUGACAUGGACUACCAGUGCUCUGUGAUACACUUUCAACGAGUCGAGUUGUUUGGGAAUGCAGCUCAAAAUGGGUGGUAAAUUCCAUCUAAAGCUAAAUAUUGGCGAGAGACCGAUAGCGAACAAGUACCGUGAGGGAAAGAUGAAAAGCACUUUGGAAAGAGAGUUAAACAGUAUGUGAAAUUGUUGAAAGGGAAACGAUUGAAGUCAGUCGUGCUCAAUGGACUCAGCCGUUCUGCGGUGUAUUUCCAUUGGGUGGGGUCAACAUCAGUUUUGAUCGCUGGAUAAAGGCAGGAGGAAUGUAGCACCCCCGGGUGAACUUAUAGCCUCUUGUCACAUACAGUGGUUGGGACUGAGGAACGCAGCAUGCCUUUAUGGCCGGGAUUCGUCCACGUACAUGCUUAGGAUGUUGACAUAAUGGCUUUAAACGACCCGUCUUGAACCACGGACCCAAUCCACGAC